UACGUAGGGGGCAAGCGUUGUCCGGAUUUAUUGGGCGUAAAGAGCUCGUAGGCGGUUUGGUAAGUCUGGUGUGAAAUCUCCACGCUCAACGUGGAGGGGCCACCCGAUACUGCCAUGACUGGAGUCCGGUAGAGGAGUGUGGAAUUCCCGGUGUAGCGGUGAAAUGCGCAGAUAUCGGGAGGAACACCAGCGGCGAAGGCGGCGCUCUGGGCCGGAACUGACGCUGAGGAGCGAAAGCGUGGGUAGCAAACAGG
rnacentral:rRNA from 1 species